AGCUUGCUACUGGACCUAGCGGCGGACGGGUGAGUAAUGCUUAGGAAUCUGCCUAUUAGUGGGGGACAACAUUCCGAAAGGAAUGCUAAUACCGCAUACGUCCUACGGGAGAAAGCAGGGGACCUUCGGGCCUUGCGCUAAUAGAUGAGCCUAAGUCGGAUUAGCUAGUUGGUGGGGUAAAGGCCUACCAAGGCGACGAUCUGUAGCGGGUCUGAGAGGAUGAUCCGCCACACUGGGACUGAGACACGGCCCAGACUCCUACGGGAGGCAGCAGUGGGGAAUAUUGGACAAUGGGGGGAACCCUGAUCCAGCCAUGCCGCGUGUGUGAAGAAGGCCUUAUGGUUGUAAAGCACUUUAAGCGAGGAGGAGGCUACUAGUAUUAAUACUACUGGAUAGUGGACGUUACUCGCAGAAUAAGCACCGGCUAACUCUGUGCCAGCAGCCGCGGUAAUACAGAGGGUGCGAGCGUUAAUCGGAUUUACUG
rnacentral:rRNA from 1 species